rnacentral:rRNA from 1 species
AGUGAACGCUGGCGGUAGGCCUAACACAUGCAAGUCGAACGGCAGCACAGUAAGAGCUUGCUCUUACGGGUGGCGAGUGGCGGACGGGUGAGGAAUACAUCGGAAUCUACUUUUUCGUGGGGGAUAACGUAGGGAAACUUACGCUAAUACCGCAUACGACCUACGGGUGAAAGCAGGGGAUCUUCUGACCUUGCGCGAAUGAAUGAGCCGAUGUCGGAUUAGCUAGUUGGCGGGGUAAAGGCCCACCAAGGGGACGAUCCGUAGCUGGUCUGAGAGGAUGGUCGGCCACACUGGAACUUAGACACGGUCCAGACUCCUACGGGAGGCAGCAGUGGGGAAUAUUGGACAAUGGGCGCAAGCAUGAUCCAGCCAUACCGCGUGUGUGAAGAAGGCCUUCGGGUUGUAAAGCCCUUUUGUUGGGAAAGAAAAGCAUCAGGUUAAUACCCCGCUGUUCUGACGGUACCCAAAGAAUAAGCACCGGCUAACUUCGUG